UAGCUAAUAAAUUAGAUUAAAUUAGGUAAUUUUGUUACCAUCGUUUGAGUAUUUUUUUUAAUAGAAAUUGCUUUAAUUAAUUUUAAUGCCAUUCAAUUUUUGAAAACAGUGCUUUUGUGAUAAGUGUGAACAUUAUCCGUUAUCCUCUAAAUUAUCAAUCAUGAUGUUUACUUCAAUUUUAAACUUGAUAGUUUAAUUGCUCAUUCAAAGUGAAUUAAUUUGUUAUUUUUCUUCGUUCCUGUUGUGAUGAUGAACAAGAAAAAAACGUACACUUGCAAUUUAAUUGCUUGGAAUCUCUGAUGGAGCAUCAAACGUCUUUCAGCCAUAUUUAUCACCUUCUUACAUGGGAAACCGGAAUGGCCUCAUCAUUUUAACUAGUUUUCAUUAAACAUUAAUCAAGACUCAACAACUAUGUUUAAUACCAUUACAAAAGUUAAUAACAAUUCCUGUUCAUCAUUAUUACCCAAAUCUCUACACAACUGUAUACUCAACAACCAAUAACCCAAGAUAUAAAAGGAUAAUGAUUGUGUUGCUAAAGAAAGUACUAAGGUCAAUCAGUGAAGUUUAAUGGACAAAUUAACAUGCUUGGCAACAAUUUGAAAGAAGGACAAUUCCGUUAUCAUUUACCUUGACCGUUAUCCAAUUUUUGCUGGUGAUAAAAAAGGCAAAGAAUAAAGGGAAAACUUGACUUUUUUUACAUCUCACAACUGUCUUUCAAACAACAGGCUUUAUGUAUUUCAAAAAAUAUAUUUAGUUCUGUUUUUUUUGUACCAAACUACAGUUUAAUGGACAAUUUAGGAACUUUCUUCACCGAUUGGCCAUUCCAUUGGACACUCUUUGAUAUGAAUGGAUCGUGAUCAGAAUGAAUCUGAAUGAUUUACCCAGAAUUAUAAUAGAUCUGUCUUCGUCUAUUGAUAUAUUAAUGUAUUUUUUUUAAAUACAUCUAUAUUAACUAGCAGCAAAAAGUUGAGCCAUUUAUUAUACAAUACAAACUGCAAAAGGAACUGGAAAAAUUAAAACUGUCCAUUGUGAUGUGUACAAAAUGCUUGGUGGUGGUUAAUGGUUAUUUCGUGUUGAUCAAUUUUCAUCAAAGUUCAGAAACAAAUCUUCCAAAUACUUAACAUGUACCUGAAAUAUGUACAUGUGUAAUUGAGAUGGCAACAAAUUGUAAAUUGAACCAUCAACACUUUGUUCAGUCAAGGAUUCAUGCAAUCGAUUUUCAAUUUAAUUUUUUGUUUGUGGUCAAAGUUAAUUUAAAACUGGCAACCUCAAUAUUGCAAAUUCAUUUUGAGUGAAUCUCCUCAGAAUGGUAAAAUAAUCAAGAAGCAUCAUGGAAAAGACUAUUCGUUCAGAUUGAUUGGCCUUAGUCAAAUUAUAAUCCAAUGCAGUCUCAUUAUAUAAUCAUCAAACUUGGUACUUAUUCAAAUCACAAGCUAUCAUCAGUCUCCCAUUAUUUGUUUAAAUAUUGGAAACAGAAGUGAUUAGUGAUUUUUCAAGAAUUAUGAUAAUUUAGUGGUUCCGAUGAAAGGCAAUAUAAUUGAAAAUAAUGAAUAAGACUUAGGUUUGAAGAUGGGAUUGAAAAGCAGAAAAUGUCUUAAAAUUACGUGAUUUUGAUGGAUUGGUUGGAUAACUUUGGAGCAAUGAUUUUUGACUGACAUUCAGUUAGGAGAAGGAAAAAUUGGUAUUACCAUGGAACUAAAAAUAUGAUGAGAAUAAUGAUAAAAAUGGCAAAGUUCAGGGUGACGCUGUUAUUAGCUGAAUGCAAAAUAUGCCAAUCAAAAUGUUAUGUUGAUGAACCAAAGGGAAUUGGAAAUCAUGAUUAGGCGAUUAGCAAUUGCUUUUAAUUCCAACGAUUCAGAUUAUGGUGUUCACCUCUAUCUUUAAACUCAAAUGUUUAUCUCAGUGUUGUUUGUUAUGAUAAUCACGCUGACGAGAGCUGUUUGUUUAUUAUGAAACAAGUUAAGCUUUCAUUAUUCAAUUAGAUUGCCUAGAAGCGUCAAACGUGUUUUUAAAUGGUCACUAAAAUAUCGUGAAUAUGUGUGAAUGUUAACUCAUGAUUUGUAAAACAAACGUUCAAAUUAAGCCAAUCAUUCAAAAAGGUCAUUUAAUCGUUGAAAGUUUUAACUCUGAAUUAAUUCACUCUCUUUUGGUUGAUUACAGAUUACCAUUGAUUUGAAAGCCAACAUCACGCUCGUAAUGAGACAAAGACCCCUUGAGUUGAAGAGGCUUAGCGCAAAAUUGAAAGAUGGCGUUAAUUUAUUGGAAUGCUGAACCAGUUGAUUGUUUAUUUUGUGACAAAUUGUUGGUGUUUAAAAAAAUUUAAUUUUGUGAAUCAAGAUGGAUAAUCGAGGAAUGGCAAAUGAGAUUAAUGUUGCUGUUAUACUGUUUAUAAUCAACGAGAAAAACAAUUUCAAGCAAAACUCAGUCGAUGUUCAUCUCAACAUAUGCAACUUGUAUGGUUUAGAGAAAUAUGGAAGGUGGAAAAUGCAAUUUCACCAUGAAAUUGAAUGAUUUUUAUCAUUACUUUUUUCUCGAUUUACCUUUUCAUUUCACUCAAAGACUCAUCUUCAAGCCUACUUAAUUAACUGGACCUGUGAAAGAACAAGAAUGAUUUGAUUCCAUCGAAAAUCUUAAAUGCUCAAGUAAACUCUGUUACUAUUGUCACGAUGAAAGUUAAAUCCAUGAUAAAUGAUAAACUAUCAUUUGGGAGUUGGAUUUAAAUAAAGCUCAAUUACCUUUCAAACCAUUCAAAGUGGUAUAACUCUAUUACAUACAACAACUAUUGGAAUGGAAAUCGAUAAUGGUUAAAGCUCAAAAUGGUUCCAUUAUUAUCAUAUAUACACACACAUCAAUAUACAGCAACAUCAAGAUGAUUAUGCUUUUUGUUUGCUUGAUUAUUUAUCUAAUUUACACAACCAUCCACUGCAAGUAAUUAACUCAACUUGUUGGCCAUUAAACCGUCAAGUCAAACCUUUUACGGACCAAUAGUUAAUCAUUGGUUAACCAUUUAAAAAAAGGUUCACUUUUUAACAAUCACCAUUACUUUUAUGAUUUGCCACCAACUUGAUCAAAUGCUUAAUAUUUCAAAGUUGUUGCCGUUAAACAGUUAUGCAAACAAUUAACCAGAGAAGAAAAAUUCCAACAGAAAUAAAUUCAUUCUCAAUGGAGCCAGUCAAUUGGAUUUUGAACAUUUUUAUGGCCAAUAUCAACAUGUGUUACACAUUGAAACUGACCGUGGAUUGGUGAUAAUUUGGGGAAUGAAAUGAGGCCCAUUUUAAUUGCAUACUUUAUCAACUUACUAAUUAUUGGACUUUUUUUGUUGAAAGUCUAAUUUUACUUCUACUAUUAUAAGCUUUUUUUUGUUUAAUGUGUAAAUUUGAGUCGUUAGGUUUUUAUGUUAGGUUACCAUUGAUGAUUAAGUAUACAUUUAUGGUUAACCAUGCAAAACAUAUGAUAAUUCAUUUGAUAUUAGACUAAUUAUUGAAAAUCAGUCGUCAAUCAACCUUUACAAUGGUCUGUGUAUUCAUUUAUAUUUGGUCUCCCCAUGAUUGACCAAAAUUAGGACUCAAUAAUCAUGGUAAUAAUAAUAGCUUUUAUCAUAAUAACUUGUACAGUUUGAUUGUUAUUAUGAAUAAAAUAAAAGUUAAUCUGAAA